AAGUCGAGGGGAAACGACAUCGAAAGCUUGCUUUUUCUAGGCGUCGACCGGCGCACGGGUGAGUAACGCGUAUCCAACCUGCCCAUCACUUGGGGAUAACCUUGCGAAAGUAAGACUAAUACCCCAUGGUCUCCACGGAUGGCAUCUGAAAUGGAGUAAAGGUUUCGGCCGGUUGCGGAUGGGGAUGCGUCUGAUUAGCUUGUUGGCGGGGUAACGGCCCACCAAGGCGACGAUCAGUAGGGGUUCUGAGAGGAAGGUCCCCACAUUGGAACUGAGACACGGUCCAAACUCC
rnacentral:rRNA from 1 species